ensembl:antisense Gm32592 predicted gene, 32592
AGAGAGAGAGAGAGAGAGAGAGAGAGAGAGAAUGUCCAACUCUUUUGCUGCAGAAAGGCACUGCCUUUACUGAGGCUAGACCUUGCAGACCAUGAUCUGGGGUAUCAAACCUGGGACCUCAUGAAUGCUACGACUUUUCAGAGCAUUUACUAUAUCUUUUAACCUUAGACUUCACCCUUCAGAAUGGGUCUGUUUGGAAUAACUGCACUGCCCAAUGCUCUUAAGGAAAUGAUGCAAACACUGUUGCUGAAGGCGUUACUGUUAAGUUCCAUGUAGUGUGACUUUGUGUAAGUCUCCCCUAACAGAACCCUCCAGCAGAAUGCUGAUGAGCGGUUGGCUUGGAUGCAGUGUACAGAAUGGAUUCUCUUGAAGCAGGGUUCAAAGUUGCUUUGCUAAAAUGGAUCACUAAAAGGAAAGAAAGAAAAGAGAAGAGAAGGGAAGGGAAGCGGAGGGGAGGAGNGGGAGGGGAGGGGAGGGGAGACGAGACAAGACAAGACAAGACAAGACAAGACAAGACAAGACAAGACAAGAAUCUGGUCUAAAUCUUUUGUUUUGAGCUGGAUGAAAGAAGUGAUUUUCUGUCUCUCUCUGUCUCUCUGUCUCUGUCUGUCUCUGUCUCUAUGUCUGUCUCUGACUCUCUGUCUCUCUGUCUCUCUCUGUUUCUCUCUUUGUCUCUGUCUGUCUGUCUGUCUGUCUGUCUGUCUCUUCUCACACACACACACACACACACACACACACACACACACACUUUUCAUGCUGCAGAAAUACCUGAGCUGUCAUCCCCAGGAACACUGCCCACCUCCCCUGAGUCAGGCUAUAUCGACUUAGAGCUUACAGAGUAGUCUUGAGUUCCUGAUGAUUGGCUGAUGGUGAGCCCAGGGGUACCGCUACUUCUGCUUCCUUAGUGCCGGGAUUACAAACUCACCACUAUACUGGCUUCUUUGCAUGGGGUCGGGAGGUCUAGCUUUGCCACCAUGUGCUUGAGAGACAAAUCGGUGACUGACCCAUCCACCUCUCAGAAGUGAUGUUUUAAUGACCCUUAGUGGAGGUAUUCUUCAGUUUCCCACAGUCCUCGCUCUUCCCUCUCCUUACCUUACUUCAUUAUUCACAUUCUUUCCUGGCAAGCCCUAACCAACCAAGUCUGUAGUCUCUGCUUUAAGUAUCCAUAGCAACAUUUGCAUAAGACAGCACAUUUGCAACACAUGGUGGAAGUCUCUCUCUUUCCUCUCAAAAACUGCAAUCAUAAGAAAAGCUGAAGUCCAAUUUCUACGUGGCAGCUUCUGCAGUAGGUACUUUAUGCACACUGUUCCAUCUGAGUCCCUUACUGUCCAGUAGUUUGUUACUAACUCUGGCAUAUAACUAAGAGAUCGAGAUUGGGAGGUUAAAGCAAAAAGGUCAAACCUAAACUGUCCUCUUAAAUCCAAUUAAUAAACUUCAGAAACAUGAGUUAAAUUAACGUGGUGACAAAGGGGCUUUUGUUACAAGCUUUCACUAUUUUUCAAUUAACAAUGAAUUAUGACAUCAGAUGAGAUCAGCACUCCUGAGAAGUCGGGAUUAAUCUCAAUGCAACCAUAGGCAUAUUUGGAAUACUACUGAUCUUUGGAGUGGCUCAUGUUGCCUGUGAAGGCGAUUGUGAAGUUCCUCUGAGAGAAACUUCAUUUACCAUGGCAGAAGACCCACGAGCUUGAACUUGACUCUUUCCCUGACUGUUUAACACUAAAUCAAUGAAUGUGAAACCGGCACAUGAGGUGUGUUGGUCUACGGCUGCCCUUGAUCAGAAUACCUGGUGAAUUACCUCUGAGAGUCAACCCAUGCCCAAAGACUGUUGGUAUAAGCAGCUUGAUAUUUUAUGCCAUUUUUUAAAUCUGUGUUUGAGGUGGGGCUUGCCCAUGUUUGUAGGGGCCAGAGGUCAACCUCAGGUAGACUCUACCUUGAUUUCUCAGACAAUGUGUCUCACUGGCCUGGACCUCACCAGGUCGGCUAGGCUGACUGGCCAGAGAAGCCCAAGGAUCUGAUGUUUCUAACCUCCCCAGUGGUGGGAUUAAAAUGGCACCAGCACUGCAAGCUCCUUUAUGUGGGGUCUGGGCAUUGAACUCCGGUCCCCGUUUUUAUAUACCAAGCACCUCACUAACUGAGCCAUCUCCCCAGUUCCACAUUUCUGUGUUUCUAACAAUUAAUUACGUUCCCACUCUGUUCUCCCUUUGCCCCAUACUCUUAAAGUAACAGGCAGAAUGGUCUCAUUUCUGAGAAAAGAAAUUUUAUUUGAUUUUACUGGUUUUCCAGUCCCAUCCGAGAAUGCUGUUCUGGUCUGAGCUAUUUAAAAACGCAUAGCCUCCAAUUCCCAGUUCUGAGAGCUAACACUUUGCCAAGCACCUCCUAGCUACAAAGUGACCUUGACACAUGUCAUUCAGCAGGGUUUCAAAUCAAAGUCAUCCUGUUUAAUAUUCAUAAAGACUUUUUUUUUUCCUUCCUAACAGCAUAUGUAGCGAUUUUACAAGGGCUAGGGUUGGGAGCUUUAUUUAGAGAUGGGUUGUAUUCUGAGAAACGUACCAUCAGCAUCUCUCCGAUGAACUGAAGUAUUAGUUUGGAGGUAGGGAAAUUUCGUUUGGCAUUCUUCAAGGGAAGAGAGUGAAGUGCUCGAUCCUGACAGGUUUUUCUCAUUGGGGGUUUCCUGGGCUGGCCCAUCUGUGAUACUGAAUUCGGAUACUGAAUUUAUUACGAUAGCAUUAAUAGGUUUCUCGUCUGCAUGCUUUUCAUUCGUGAGUUGCGUAUCUAGAUGAAAAAAAAAGAAAACACACAUAUACAAACCCACUGUGAUCUAAGAAGGGACAUUUGCAGGAAAAUUUACAUUUUGCACUUUGAGAAAAUAAAGUCCCAUGAGAGGGAAUACAACAUUAUCGAAGAAGGUUAUUUUGAGAUAGAAUUGAAAAGUACAAUCACAAAUUUUUAUAUACACUGUAAAUUUCUCAUUAAUUUGAAAUGUAUUUUUCUACAUCAGUUUUUAAGAUGGUGAGUUGGGCAAACCAAAGAACUCAUUCACGUAGAUCAACAAGAUGUUACAGUGUGAUAUCUGCAUCAUAGAAUAUUAUGGAUAUGAGAAACCAGGUGAUUCUGGAAACUUCCAAUGGUCUCAAUAAAAUCGCUAUUCCUUU